rnacentral:misc_RNA from 1 species
UCUUCUUCUUCUUCUUCUUCUUCUUCGUUAAUUCAUCAUUAGAAGCGUAGACCUCUGCAUAGACCGAUAGCUUCUGGAAGAAAUUGAAGGCUUUGAGAUCUCUGCAGGAAAUUCGUGUGAGUUCCAGAGAGACCCACUCCAUGAUAUAAUAUCAGUUGCUCUCAGAGAGCAAAAAUGAGAUGAAAAAAGGCCAAGGCUUAAACCAAGUCUCCAAAGAGACGCGUAAUUGCG